CAAGCACAUAUUUCACAUUUUUUCAUAACCUGUAUUGUAAGCCAUUCAACCUAACUUGUAUUUUCGAUCUUUCGAUACAUUUCCAAUUUCUAAGUGAUUCACUAAGUCACUUUUCACUUCAUAGGUAAAUUCCCUAAGCAUUAAUUGGAAUCCAUUUCCACACAUACACCUUGAGUCAUAACUCCCUUUUUAUUUAUGGUCUUUGAAUCUAUGUAUAUAAGGUUCAAAAGUCACUAAAUAUUAUCUUUACAUUCACAUGACUUCACUUUAUUUUAUUACAAGCAUAUUACAUGAUUUCCAUACACAAAAGAAUAAAAGUAAUUCCAAGCUCUUCAAUAGUCUUCAUUCAUACUCCACUCUUGAUCAUGCUUGUUCAUGCUCCAUUACCAUGUACCAUGUUGCAAAGAAAACAAUAAAAAUAAGUUAUAUUCAUUUCUAAAAAUUCAGCACUUACAUAACAAAAAUUUAGCAUCAUGAGCAUUUAUAAAAUACACAUAAAAAGUCAUCUUGAUUCAUAUCAUCCAUCUCUAAAAUUCAACACAUGCACAUACGUUCACAUCAUAUACAAAAUCAUUAAAAAAACAAGUCAAAUAUAAUAAAAAUUUAGCAUGUUAUGCAUAUACCAUGAAUAUAAAUUCCAUUUUAUGUAUCAUAUUCAUUCCACUUCUAUACAACAAGUAAAACCCCAUAAAUCAUGUGCAUUAAAAAUUCAGCAUUCAUGCAAUAAUAAUUUCAUCCAUGAACAUCAAUCCAAAUGCAUAUAUAAGUUAUUCAUUCAUACCAUGUAAAUACCCAAACAUGUGUUCAAGUGAUGCCAUAUAAAUUAAUUCAAUUUCCCUCACAUUCACUAAAAAUUCAGCAUAAGCACAUGCAUGUAAAUUCACAUACAUCCAUGUUUUAACUACCUUAAACUUCCACUAACUAACUUCUAACCACUUUGGGCAAUUGCCCAAAGUGCCCAAAACAACCCAAACUAACUUCUAACCAAUUCUCAACCUCUAAGCAUCCCUCACCUAGUUCUAUAUAAUCAUUCAUCAUCCACCCAUUAAGGGGAUUCUUUUUUUUUUUUUGAUUUCACUCAUUCUUCACUUUCUCUCAAGUUUUUACUCCAUUCUCCAACCUUUUCUCAUUAGAUCUCAAAUCCAUGGUUGUUGAAGCUUCAAUCAACUUGAGCAUAAACCCUCACCAUACUUCACAUCAUAGUUUUUCAUGAUUAAAGCACAAAAAAAAAAAUCAACAACAAGAAAAUAAAUGGAAAAGAGAUGAAGAGGAAUUGAAUCAAGUGAACGCGAAGAAUCACUUACCAUAUUGAAUUUGCAUCACCAUUGAAGAAACAUCGGAGGGUCUUCGAUCGGUAAGCCUCAAGCUUUAUUUAUCACUCCAUAACUUCUUGUGUUGAGUCACCUUUGUAUGCUUGUUUAUUUAUUUGUCUUACUUUUCAUCUUGUGUGGACGAUUACCCCGAGAAUCUAAGCCUUGCCAUGAACAUAAACCAUAAAAAAUUCAGCAUCUUGUCAAUACCAAAACUUGACCCCUCUCAUCACCAAUUUCAACCUUCAUCAAUAAUUCAUCAAGAAACGUCACCAAGAAUUCUUAUCGCAACCCUAACCAAUACCAAAUCAAAACCCGAUUGAAAAAUCAUAACCAUUAGAGGAAUCAAACCCAAAUCCAAAACAGUUUAACCGUAAACAAGCAUUGCAAGGAAAAUCAUUCCCAAUAGAAAGAGAAAGGAAAAAAUAAGAAGCAAAACUUGGUUCAGAAUUUUUGUCGAACACUUUGUGUGCAACCGAUUAUGAGUCGAAAACUCUAAACCAAAAUCUGAGUUGAAUACAAUCUAAACAAUUUUGAACCAAUAUAAACCAGAACAAAAUAAAAUUGUAACUUCGAAACCAAAACCCAACUGAACCAAAAUCUGAAGCGGAACCUAAAUGAACUCUGAGUUGAUAACGAAUCUAAAUUGAAACACCUGAAUGUUGAACCGAAGUAAUUGUCGAAUUUCGAAACUGUUGGAAAUCACGAUAGAAUUCCAUUUGUUGCGUGAGAAAUCAGUCACAGAACUGUGAGCUUUAGAAUCACGUUUGGUUGAAAAUCACUUAUUUGAAAAAUCCCGCUUGAAGGACGCUUUGAGCGUUCUCGUUUCUGCUAUGUUUCAUGCUGCAAUUUUCUUUGCAAUUCUCGUUCUACUACACUAGUUCUUUUGUUUCCUUUUCUAUUAUCCCCUUUCUUAAUUAUUA
rnacentral:lncRNA from 1 species